CCUACGGGAGGCAGCAGUGAGGAAUAUUGGUCAAUGGGCGCGAGCCUGAACCAGCCAAGUAGCGUGAAGGAUGACUGCCCUACGGGUUGUAAACUUCUUUUAUAAAGGAAUAAAGUGAGGCACGUGUGCCUUUUUGUAUGGACUUUAUGAAUAAGGAUCGGCUAACUCCGUGCCAGCAGCCGCGGUAAUACGGAGGAUCCGAGCGUUAUCCGGAUUGAUUGGGUUUAAAGGGAGCGUAGAGGGGUUGUUAAGUCAGUUGUGAAAGUUUGCGGCUCAACCGUAAAAUUGCAAUUGAUACUGGCAGCCUUGAUUACAGUUGAGGUAGUCGGCAUUCGUGUUGUAGCGG
rnacentral:rRNA from 1 species